rnacentral:tRNA from 1 species
GCUUAAAUAGUUUAAUCAAAAUGUUGGUUUGUGGAUCCAGAGAUAUAUGAAUGUUAUUUUAGGCA